GAUUGAUAAAUUGAACUAAUACUCCAUUUACUACCAUAAAGAGACAGAAGCAAAUAUGUCACGAGAAACGCUUAUUCAUUAUUUGAUAAUCGCACAUCCAUAGCUUUAAUCAUCUCUUAUAAAUUGAACAAGCCAAAUAGGCCAGGACGAAGGUCAAAGCCAGCAAUAUGUGCACUCGAGAACAUGAACAAAGAAAAUACAGCUGACGGUAGUCUUCCAGAAAAAAGCAAGAGACCUCAAUAGCAAUGCAACCAAACUAAUCAAUUAGCUAUUUAGCAAUUCCAAUGUCUGCCCUCACCUUUAUACAUUUAAGCUGCUGGCAAGUUUAAUAACACCUGCAAGAAGAAGGAAGUAUUUAUAUCAUUGUCCUGAUGUAAUAUAUCUACAAUCCAUAGAAUAGAGGGACUCAUUUUUUUCUUUUUUAUUUUUUUGGAAAUUGUUAAUUACACAAACAAAAAUUGAUAUUUUCGUAAGGUCUCUCUAACGUAGUUGUGGGACUCAUUUACUAUUCAUGUUA
rnacentral:lncRNA from 1 species